UUGAAAUCGAAAGGUGAGAGAAGUCGGUCGUAAAAAUCUUUGUUCUCUACGCGAUCAUAAUUUCAAAAUUUUCUCAAGUCUACCAUAAUGGUGUCGCAUCUGUGCUUUAUUACAUUGUUUUAAAACCGACAAUAUAUAAUAGGCUUUCGAAGAAUCAACUAUGUAUGGAAGCAAAGGGCGAAGUUGCUUGGCAUAAAAGUGUAUAAGGACAGUACGAACUUUUUUACUUCUUUCAUACCCCCGUUCAUCAUCCAAUCCCUCUCUCUUACAUUAAGGGUGACUUUUGGACUGAUACACUCGUCUACCUGAUACCGGACUCAGUUAUCUUAUCUUCAUGAACCGUAUUUAUAUCCACGCACACAUGAAUGCACGAGAAGAGAAAGCAAGAGGGAAAUUUAAACAGGACCUUUGAAACUCGUUGCACACACCGAUGCUCGACAUGACGAAUUAGGAAGUGCUUCUAUUGCGAAACGGGAGUGUAUGUAUAUGUAUGUACAUAGAUAUCUAACAUCAAGAAAGGCCAACCACGACAAAGAGAAAUACGACCGACAUAUUUUUUGAAGGACCUUUCCUUUUUUAUUUUAUACACGUUUUCUUCUCUCGUUAUCUCGAAAGAUACGUUGUCUCGCAAAAAUCAUCGUAAAUAUCAUCUUCCUUUUUAAAAAGAAAAAUAUUCAAUAAAAAAGGAGAAAAGCGAAUAGUAAAGAAGUUAAUGCGACAUCAUUCAAGUGAAAAAAGAAAAGAAAAUUUUAUAGGAGAUCAAUUUUGUUAACGAUUCGAAAGGAUAUUCAAAGACGAAGUGAUUUAUUUUAACCCCCUUUUUCUUUUUCCUUAGUGUUCGUUUCUUUUUUACUUUUUCCAAGAAGGUUAAACAAUUAUUUUUCUCGAUGAAACUUAUUUUCUAUCUUAUACUUUUUGCUUUCUCUUUUUAUAUCUCUCGUACAUUAUUUAUCUAUUUUAUAUUUUGCCUUACCAUGAUUCAUCUUCUUUUGUACGUCUUCACCCAAAUAUAUUUAUUGCGUCGAGAAAAAAAGAAACGAAAAAAGAAACGUCGUCGAUGAAUUUUGUCUUCUUUAAAAUAAAUAUACGAAACGCUUUUUAUCGAACCUUCGAACGAAAUGUUAGCAGACAAAUAA